rnacentral:tRNA from 1 species
GGAGGGGUGGCCGAGCGGUCAAUGGCAGCAGACUGUAAAUCUGCCGACUUAUGUCUACGCAGGUUCGAAUCCUGCCCCCUCCACCA